rnacentral:rRNA from 1 species
AGAGUUUGAUCAUGGCUCAGGACGAACGCUGGCGGCGUGCUUAACACAUGCAAGUCGAACGAGGUGCUUGCACCUAGUGGCGAACGGGUGAGUAACACGUGAGCAACCUGCCCCUGGCUCUGGGAUAGCCUCCGGAAACGGGGAUUAAUACCGGACAUGACUCCGGCCGGCAUCGGCUGGGGUGGAAAGUUUUUCGGCCA